UACGUAGGGUGCGAGCGUUAAUCGGAAUUACUGGGCGUAAAGCGUGCGCAGGCGGUCUGUUAAGACCGAUGUGAAAUCCCCGGGCUUAACCUGGGAACUGCAUUGGUGACUGGCAGGCUUUGAGUGUGGCAGAGGGAGGUAGAAUUCCACGUGUAGCAGUGAAAUGCGUAGAGAUGUGGAGGAAUACCGAUGGCGAAGGCAGCCUCCUGGGCCAACACUGACGCUCAUGCACGAAAGCGUGGGGAGCAAACAAG
rnacentral:rRNA from 1 species